rnacentral:lncRNA from 1 species
AAGGGCUUUCUUUAUGUGCAGAAGCCUAUCUCCAAGUUAGUCUUAAGGUUCUUGUUUCCUUUGUAAUUUUUGGAGGAUAGUAACAAGGUCAUCUUUUCUCAAAAACAAGAAGGGGUAGAAAAUGAAACUUUUGGUGGUCUGUCUUCUAUUUUUUCAUUACUCUUGUGUCGUCAUAUGCACUUCUCACUUGCGAGUCUGUCUCAUUACUGAAACAGCUUUUGGUCUUCUCCAUAAUAGUGGGAAUGAAAUAGUGGGUUUGCAUGGUCUCUCAAGAUCUUUAUUUCUUUAUAUUUCACUUUUAAUUCCUGCAUGAGAUUUUUAUUCCAUAUUACCAAGGGAAUGAGAUAGUUCACUUAAGAUAGUGGGUUUGCAUGGUCUCUUAAGAAGUGCACUCCUGCGCGGUUCUUUUAUUUCUCUGAUCUUUCUACCGCCAAAUGUUGUAAAUUCAUUUCCCUUUUUUCUCCGAUCCAUGCAUUUGCAAGUGAACCUCGUUAUACUUUCUUUGAUUCUUCCAACAGCAGCUACAGUAAAUUCAUUUCCCUUUGACUACUGUAACUUUCCAGAAGCUGUGGUCUUGAUAUUCUUUUCAAUAUCUGCAAUUGGAUAUUCUUUCUCCCUUUGACUACUAUAAUUUUCU